GAUGAACGCUGGCGGCGUGCCUAAUACAUGCAAGUCGAGCGAACGGACGAGAAGCUUGCUUUUCUGAUGUUAGCGGCGGACGGGUGAGUAACACGUGGAUAACCUACCUAUAAGACUGGGAUAACUUCGGGAAACCGGAGCUAAUACCGGAUAAUAUUUUGAACCGCAUGGUUCAAAAGUGAAAGAUGGUCUUGCUGUCACUUAUAGAUGGAUCCGCGCUGCAUUAGCUAGUUGGUAAGGUAACGGCUUACCAAGGCAACGAUGCAUAGCCGACCUGAGAGGGUGAUCGGCCACACUGGAACUGAGACACGGUCCAGACUCCUACGGGAGGCAGCAGUAGGGAAUCUUCCGCAAAGGGCGAAAGCCUGACGGAGCAACGCCGCGUGAGUGAUGAAGGUCUUCGGAUCGUAAAACUCUGUUAUUAGGGAAGAACAUAUGUGUAAGUAACUGUGCACAUCUUGACGGUACCUAAUCAGAAAGCCACGGCUAACUACGUG
rnacentral:rRNA from 1 species